rnacentral:rRNA from 1 species
UACGGGAGGCAGCAGUGGGGAAUAUUGCACAAUGGGCGAAAGCCUGAUGCAGCGACGCCGCGUGAGUGAAGAAGUAUUUCGGUAUGUAAAGCUCUAUCAGCAGGGAAGAAAGGCCCGUUAAGGGAGAUGACGGUACCUGACUAAGAAGCCCCGGCUAACUACGUGCCAGCAGCCGCGGUAAU